AUUGAACGCUGGCGGAAUGCUUUACACAUGCAAGUCGAACGGCAGCACGGACUUCGGUCUGGUGGCGAGUGGCGAACGGGUGAGUAAUACAUCGGAACGUGCCCAAUCGUGGGGGAUAACGUAGCGAAAGCUACGCUAAUACCGCAUACGAUCUAAGGAUGAAAGCGGGGGAUCGCAAGACCUCGCGCGGUUGGAGCGGCCGAUGGCAGGUUAGGUAGUUGGUAGGGUAAAGGCCUACCAAGCCGACGAUCUGUAGCUGGUCUGAGAGGAUGAUCAGCCACACUGGGACUGAGACACGGCCCAGACUCCUACGGGAGGCAGCAGUGGGGAAUUUUGGACAAUGGACGCAAGUCUGAUCCAGCCAUUCCGCGUGCAGGAUGAAGGCCCUCGGGUUGUAAACUGCUUUUGUACAGAACGAAAAGGUUUCUACUAAUACUAGGAGCUCAUGACGGUACUGUAAGAAUAAGCACCGGCUAACUACGUGCCAGCAGCCGCGGUAA
rnacentral:rRNA from 1 species